UACGGAAGGCAGCAGUGGGGAAUAUUGCACAAUGGGCGCAAGCCUGAUGCAGCCAUGCCGCGUGUAUGAAGAAGGCCUUCGGGUUGUAAAGUACUUUCAGUCGUGAGGAAGGUGUUAAGGUUAAUAACCUUAGCAAUUGACGUUAGCGACAGAAGAAGCACCGGCUAACUCCGUGCCAGCAGCCGCGGUAAUACGGAGGGUGCGAGCGUUAAUCGGAAUUACUGGGCGUAAAGGGCACGCAGGCGGUUAAUUAAGUUGGAUGUGAAAUCCCCGGGCUUAACCUGGGAAUGGCAUUCAAGACUGGUUAGCUAGAGUCUUGUAGAGGGGGUAGAAUUCCAUGUGUAGCGGUGAAAUGCGUAGAGAUGUGGAGGAAAUACCGGUGGCGAAGGCGGCCCCUGGACAAAGGACUGACGCUCAUGUGCGAAAGCGUGGGGAGCAAACAGGGAUUAGAUACC
rnacentral:rRNA from 1 species